CCUGUGAUCAUGUAUUUAACGGCCGCGGUAUUUUGACCGUGCAAAGGUAGCGCAAUCACUUGUCUUUUAAAUGAAGACCUGUAUGAAUGGCACAACGAGGGCUUAACUGUCUCCCCCUCCUAGUCAAUGAAAUUGAUCUCCCCGUGCAGAAGCGGGGAUAAAAACAUAAGACGAGAAGACCCUGUGGAGCUUUAGACACAAGAACAGCCCGUGUUAAACAAGCCUAAUUAAAGGCCAAAACUAAUCGAAGCCUGUCCUGCUGUCUUUGGUUGGGGCGACCGCGGGGUAAUAAAUAACCCCCACGUAGAAUAAGGGGACUAUCCCCCCUAAAAGUAAGAGUCGCAACUCUAACUAACAGAAUUUCUGACUAAAAAUGAUCCGGCAACGCCGAUCAACGAACCGAGUUACCCCAGGGAUAACAGCGCAAUCCUCUUCCAGAGCCCAUAUCGACAAGAGGGUUUACGACCUCGAUGUUGGAUCAGGAC
rnacentral:rRNA from 1 species